AGAAAAGAUUUCCAUCUGUCUGAAAUUUAAAUUCAGUCCUGCCUGAUAGCAAGAACUUGGACUGGAAUUUUCUCAGGAUUCCUUCCAAUGCAAGAUUCUGGGAUCUAUGCCCUUUACUGUGUCCUGAAGUGUCCUCCUUUCACCUGGUUCUUAGCAAUACUCAGAUUAAAGAGCUACUGUGGCCAAAUGGUUGGUGAAAUGGAGAACUGGCCCCCACUGUUAACAGAGCAAUCAAUUACCUUCCUAAAAGAGACACUGCCAAAAUUCUACUCAGAUUAUUUCACAGCUGAAGUAAUAACAAAGACUCCCAUUUGUAGUGCACCUUCCACAUUCCAUUCAUCUUGCAUACCUCUUGGCUGAUUCUUACACCAACUCUGAAAAGUAGGUAUUAUCCUCCCCCUCAUCUUGCAUAUAAGGAACCUGAGGUCCAGAGGAGAUUCCACGUGCCCAAGGUCACAAAACUGAUAAAGAGGUGAGCUAGGAUUCAAACCCAGGUCUAUCUGGCUCUGAUGUCUGGGCUGGUUCCACAACAGUCUAGAGAGCCAACUCCUCAACACAGGGGUAGAUGGCAUUGAUAUCAACCUAUCUAAUGCUAAUUUAGGAAAACAAUCCUGAAAGAAAGAGUUCUACAGUGAAAAGAAGACUCUGUGAUUAGUCUGCUGGCCCAGCGGGAAUGGUGAGUUUCAUCUACUGCUAGUCAGAGCUAUUUGGCUUCUGGAGAUUCAAGAGCAGGACUGUGGGGACCUUGACAAAAACUAUUUUCAACGACAAUGAGCUCAUGAAGGGCUUCUCUGGGUUGUGCCAGGGAGGGCAAUGUCCUCACAGUGACGAGAACAUUCUGGAGGACAGGAACGAGGAAGAGCCUUUAGGGAAACAAGUGUGCCAGAAAGUCCCUGGACAGAGGACAGAUGGAUUCAGGGUAGGGUGGUGGAGAAAGGGAAGAGAAGUAAUGUGUCCACAGCUGGAGACCAGGAAGAAGAGUUUUGUAGCACCCUGCCUUCUUCCAGAAUGUUCUUCACUGCCUACCUGGCUGAAGUACCCUUUUAUUCUUCUCAGAGCCUUUCAUUAAGAGAGAAAAGAACUUAGUCAAGCAGUUGGGGGAGACCUUCAUGGGCAGCUGCUACGGAAAUCUCACUGAGUCCCUAAAUGUCACCUCCUCAGAGAGGCCUUCCUUGACCGUCUCAUGUAAAACAGACCCCACCACACACCAUUAUUUUCUAUUACUGUACCUGAGAAUUCUCUCAAUAGUAUUUCUCACAACUUGUAAUUGCAUGUUUAUUAAUUUUCAUAUUCAUUGUCUGGUUCUCCCCCUAGGGCAGAGACCAUCUUUGUUUUAUUCACCGAUGGGUAUUCAGAACCUGGAACAGUGCUGGUGUGAGGUAAAUGUUUAGAAACUAUUUGUUGGGUGACCAAAGGAAUGAAUGGUGUCCAAGUGGCUAAUCCUUAAAUUGGGCACUCUGUGGUGUGUAAAUAAAUUACUGUGUACUCAUCCUCCUCAAUAUUUGCAUAUAGAUGAAAUCAGGUUAGAGUUAAUACCAAGGAUAGGUCCAAAGGGGAAAUAAGGACCACUCCCCAGGAAGCAUCAGGGGGAAGUCUUGCUCCUUUGUCUGCUGAGGGGGAGGGAAUUCUGGGCUGCUUUUAUGGAAAUGAGCCUGAGUCAAUUUAGCCCCAGCUCUCUCCUCCCCAACGCUAGCCCCUAGUCAGUGCUCAGUUGGGGGCAGAACAUGGUGAGGCAGGUCAUGCUGGGGCUUGCCCCACUUUGUGCUGCCAGGAGCUCUGGCUGGCUCCCAUCAGACAUAUGCCGGUUGUUGGCAAGCAAGAAGGAAGCAAGCUGUAGCAAGUACAAAGUCUGCCACCCCUAGACUUGAAGUAGUCGGCUAAGGGAAGCGAGCUGGUUCUGGGUUGGAGACCAUUAUUUGCCAUCUAACAAGCAGGUGUUUUGGGGGCAGAUUAUUUCUCAGCAGGUUGAAAAACAGGGCAUGCAUGAUAUUUUGUUUCUCCUUUGUCCUUGCUGAUAGCGGGGUUCACCCUGAGGUCUGGUCGACCUGGUUCUUUUAAGGGGGACCUUGAAAUGUAGAUUAGCACAUAGUGUGGAACAGAUGGAUGCCCUUCUCUACCCUCGCCUACCCAUUCUUCUUGAUGCCAUCCUGUGUUUAUGAACUGUGAGACCUCUGAUAAAUGUCAUUAGGGAAGAUAAAUGGGUCUAGGAGACCUCUCACGAUGGUCUUAGCAAGAGGCAUCGCUGUUCAGAUUGGGCUUCUAACUGGUAUGAAUCUAGAGAAGGGAAACCAAGUUCUGCUUGUCUCCAUGAGCCUUCUUAUCAGAGACAUUUAUGUCAUGGGCCUGCGCAUUUAGAGAUGCUAGUCACUUUUUUCCAUUAGUGUGAGGAGCUUGGGUGGCUUUGGUUUACCCUCACAUUUCCCUGCCUCUUAUAUUCUGGUAAGAAAAUUAAGACAGUUUAUUGAUCAUCUACUAUAUUCCAGGCACUGUACUAGGCAUAUUUUCCAAAUUUAUCUCAUUUCACCUGUAUUAAAACCAUUUUGGGAUAGAUUAUUAUUCCUUUUAUAUACAUGAGAAGACAGAGGUUCAGAAAAGUAGAAUAAAUUUACUAAGCCCUCUCAGCUAAGACGCUGAAUUAGAAUUUGAACCCAGGGUGUCUGGCUCCUAAACUUGUGUGUUCUUCUCAUCCAGGGCCCAAGAACAAGAAUGCGGGAACAAAGUAUAGUGACCAGACUACACUGCUUAUCAGCAUGAAUCGAACACUAAAGACCGUUUAGCAAGUCUGCUUUUACUUGGGAGAGACGGAGGAGGGGGAGAAGGGUGGUGUGAAAAAAAUUGUUUUGGUGCGGUUCAAUCUACUCUCAGCACCCUGUGCCAGCCAGAUAAGCUGAGCCUCUCUCAAUAGGCGACCUUGUUAUUGUAGCAUCAGAGAAAAGGUGACCUGGGUAGAGACUAACCCCAACUUGGACCAGAACUUCCAUCCAAGGUAACUGACGACUCUUGUUAGAUAAGAGUCACAAUUUUCAGCCCUGCCCAGGAAUAUCUGUGGGAAUAAAGGCUCUAAUAAAAUGGAAGUUAGCCUGCAUGCUUGUCUCCUGCCCUGAACUAGGAGCAGCUCAGCAAGACAGAAAUCCCAAAGCAGCGACUUGUCUUGGAGGCCAAUGACUUAGUCACCCCAACCUCUAUCAUGCUGCUCCUUCUGCAGAAAACAAGCCCCGGACUCUGCCUUCUGGGAUGGAGCGUGAGCCCUACUGGCCUUCUGCAACCCAGCUCAGGAAGUUUGCUGCUUCCUUAUUUGAGAUGCAUUAUUAAACUGUAAUCAUAUUGUGAGGGGAGCCAGCCAAAGCAGUGGCUAUUAAUAGGGAGGUAAGAAAGCUGACUCGGGAGGAAGCUGACUUAGGCUGGAGGGGAGAGCCUGGCCACCUUGGCCUACAAUCCUUGGCAAGAAGUCAGCGGGAAAGAGACCUGAGCUCAUUUCGUUCCUGGGCCAGAGUGAGCACUAUCUGGAUUUCUCAACUUUGGAAAGAGAAACCUGAAGCAGUCCUGAUCUAAGGGAUAUAGAGCCGUCUUCCCUGGGUCCUUGGGGAGUCUCAGAGCCCUGAGAACAAACAGCUUAGAUAGCUAUGACUCAGCAGAGCAGCAGCUCGCCCCUCACAAUGUCAGCAGUCCAUGCGACUUGGAAAAGGACGCUGGGGCUACAUUUCUGUGGCCUCCCUCAGCUGAGAAGCCAGAGCUGACCCAGCCCUUAGCAGGCCAGAGCUCCCCAUUGGCAGAGACAUCUGAGUAGGGAGAUUCUAUUUCUGGCUUCUUGAUAAGGCUUGGGGGAGUGGGUGUUACAGAAAGGUGGAAGCAGAGAGGUGAAGGCCCACAAUGACCGAAGGGCAUAGUGCAGAAGGGCCUGAUGAUGGGGGAGAAAUUUUUCAGUAAUUUCUGUAAAUGCAAUGCAUUUUUCAGAAAGUUAAGAUUUUAGCCAUUUGGUACACUUGCCACCAUCUGGCAGCUGGAAGCAGGAUCAAUUCCAAAAUCCGGCCCAUGGCACGCCACAGGAAAACUAGAACCGCUCCUGGAUGCUGGGUUCAUAGUAUCCCUUACUUUGUACCAGCACUGAACACGUGCUCUCCAUGUGCCGCUACAUUUAGUCCACACCAACCCCUCCAGAUCCGAGGUCAGGGGGAUCAGGGUCUGCGUGUGUGUUGCCAGGAGGUGCUGAGAAGUUGGGGGAGUGACGUGUAAUCUUCUCCCCUUCCCUCAGUGGGGUAGGUAUGCCCAGGUGAGUUUUCUCAAAGUGAAAGGUUCGUUUUGGUUCCUGGAUCUCUGAAGAAGGAGGUUGAGGUGGAGUUAGGGUGUGGGAGAUUUUUUUUCCCAUCCUUCCUAAAAAUAUUUAUUAAGUGCCUAUUGGGCUCAGCUCCGGGUGGCCCGGGCACUUUCAAUUUAUAGAAUAAUCUAAAGACAGCAUUGAUCUGGUAUUUUUCUCUGCUGUUUUUCACAUAUUCUAGAACUAUCCUCAUGUGUACAUGUCUUCAGAGUUAAACAAUUGUCACAGUCUACUUACCUACAUGGAUCUAUGAAAUACCUUUUCACAGAAAAGAAAGAAGUGACUUUCCUUCCACUGAUUGCCAUAUGGGCCACUUCCUGAACCUGAAAGAGAUGCCGUACCCCGAACACCAGGUCCUCAGCUCUAGCAAAUACAGGAGGGACAAGUUUCAGCCUCCGGCUGUCAGGGAGCAGCAAAUACAGAGGUGGGACCAGACCAGGCUCAUGGGAGUUUGUUCAUCAUUUCAUAGCCAUAUUAUGACCCAGUGUGAGAGGGCUGGAGAGUAAUUUCCAAGCCCUUAGGAAGUAGAUAGUCUAAGCCAUUGUUUUUGGGUUUUACGUGCUCUUGUGGUCAAUUCCUUUUUCUUCCUUUUUUUGAAAGGCAAACAAAUAGCCUAACAGCAAUAACAGUCAACAGGAUGGUGGCACAUCCGGGUUCAGACUCCAGCCUCCUCUUGCUGUAGUCAAAGUUAAUUAAUUCCCACUAUGCUUUGAACUAGGUUCCCUGCAGGUCUGUGCUGGGCCCUGCCCUGGCUGUCAGGGGAGGGCAUGGCUGGUUUGGCUCUCCGUGUGCUGUCCUGCGCAGGGGGAUGGAGAAGGGGGUAUGUUUCACCUUUGCAUGGGAUUGCCUCUCCUCUUCUCCUCCCGGGAGGUGACCAUUUUCAGAUCUGUGGGUGGGGAGGAAAAUCUUCUCUUCCAAAAAUAAUCUCUUUCUGCAGUGGGGUUUGAAGCUGGACCAAGCUGCUAGCGCUAUUUUUACCCAGCUUGCAGUUCAGGGUGUAAAUAGCAACUCUGGCUGUUUUUUCCCACAGCUGACAACAGAGUCGACCUCUUUGAGGCAGAAGCAUUCUGGCGUUUUGCACAGAGGAAACAGAACCAAAGUUGCCCUCGGGCCAAGGGGCUGACUCCUUGACCACUGGGUCAGUAUACAAACAGGGGUGGCAUCUCCAUGGUUCUGUUAUCUCAGUCUCUGCGGUAAACACCAGGCCCCAUGAUGGCUGCUUUGCUGAGGCUGAUUCAAAGAAGCACAGUGUGGAAUCACGAGGAGAAGGCAGGCCCAUAAAUCUCUGCCUGAGCACACUGAGGGUUUCAGGAGCUUGAGCAGCUCUGGACUCCAGCUGGCUGUCCCCCUUGCCCUCCCUCGUGCAUUAGCAAGCACUUCUUCCAAGGUUGCCACCCUUGGAGGGUUUCUUGCCCCAACCUCACCAGAUCAGGAGCUGAGGAAUGAGAGAAAAAACAACCAUUUGAGGCUGCCCAGAUGACAGAAUGUCCCUAAAAACAUGUACCUCCUUGCACUCAAGUGAUUGGAGCCCCCACAGUCUGCAGUAUUAGAAAGUGUCAUUUCGAGGGCGUGGUGAGAGGACUGGCUCCCUCCAGGCCACUCAUGAGCGGAAGCUGUGAGAAACUAACCAAAGCUUGGAGUUAUGUCUCCAAUUGGCUGGGUGAGGUGGGAAGUUCAGCCUCAGAGAGGGCCCGUCGUUGAUACAGUUGAUGAGCAAGAUGAAUCAGCAAAGACUGAGACGUGCCCAUCACACUUGGCAAUUCCCUAUUGCUUCUCCUCUGGGGAGCAAACAGACUUCAGUGGCUUUUCUCCGAGGCCAAGUUUCUUACCCAAAUCUUUCCCUGGGGUCUUUGGUCUGAAAUUAGAAAGGAGUUAGGAGUCAGCAGGAAAAUCACUCUUCAUUGUGAAUUACACAGCAACUCUUCAUGGAACUGCCCGUCUCCUUCCUCUAGGUACACAUCGAUCAUCAUCAAUCAAUCCGAGAAUUUCUCAAAUAUCCACCACAGACUCAGAAAUGGGCAUUUAGGCACAUGGUUCAAGUUUCAGUUUCUUCCAGCAGAUGACAUGUGGGGUAAGAAAAGGAUUGGAGGACAGAUAAGUAGCUGAGCAAUCCCCAAAUCUGCUUUUUUGAGGCUGGUUUCAGUGCAGCUCCUUGGAAUUGAUUCUGGGCAGCUGUUAAUUGCAAAACUCACUGCCAAUUAUCGAUAGCUAAAGUGGCAUUGGAGAGCUGCUGAUGGUAAAAAUAGGGGCAGGUAAUAAUGAGAAAAUAGCUUUGCAUUUAGAACAGAGGAUGGAAACAUAUUGUCUCCAACUGCUGUGUCGUGGGUUUCCAUUGUUAACUUGGGUUCUCUCCCAGGACCAGCCAGCAAAGCCUACUUAGUGACCUCCAGCAAAAAGUCCACCAGUGAGCUGCGCAGGAUGAGAUCAAAGCUUUGUCUCGGCAGCCAGACCAGAGGAGAUCCUGGUUCUCACUAUGCUCAGAGUCACAUUAAACAAACAAUACCACAGUUUUCACUAAAACCCGUUGAAUUUUAAAUGUACUGUUGACUAAAUUAGGGAGUUAUCGUUCAGUUGAUCUGGUAAUCCAUUUGUCCACCAAACUUCAGAUUUACAAACAAUGGUUUUCUGGGAAAGCCUCUUGAAGCCUGGAUGGUAAAUGUUUACCUUAAAAAAGCAAAAACUGAAGAAGGCAAAAGUGGCCUGGUGAGUAAAACCAAAAGCCUGCAGCAGACGGUCACGUUGCUGGACUGUUUGUUUUGAAAAAUGUUCCCAUUCCGAGCCUUGACAUUGGGGAAAUUAGGAACAUGGUAACCGACUUCCUGUCUAGUAUUUCCCUGGAUUUCCUGGAAUCCAAUUUGAAGUGUCGUUUUCCCCUGAACCACCAAGGAGUUAAACUUUGGCUCUGUUCUCCCAGUGACUAAUAGGCACCGUGUGGCUCUGAGAUCAGCGAGAAAGAAACUGACAGUCGGCGUGGGAAGUGUGCGAGAUUUCAGUGCUCUUGAAAUGCCUUUGAUGGGCAUGGUGAGCGAGCACAAGGAUUAUUGCCACCUAGAGCCCCUGAUUGUGUAAUUUGAUCUUGAAUUCUUGUUUCUCUCUUUGAAUUUUGCUUGAUUUUAAAGGAGGAUCUCGGACUCCUUUGGGGGCUUGAUAUGACUGCAGUGUGUGAGUUAUUCCACGGAGAAUGAUAUUUUAGGCAACAAACUAAUUCCACCACUUUGAAAAAUAACCCACUUUGGUUGAAAACAAAGCAGAAUCAAGUGACCUGACCAAAUGGCACUUGACGUGUGUUAGGGAGACUUGUCUUCCCGCUCUUGCUGUUUUCUUUCUUGUGAAAGGAGCCCAAUUAGCAUAACACUCCUGGCUUCUCACCACCCUCCCCCACCCCCAUUCUUCCCUGGGAAGGAGGAGUGGUUUAAGAUGACUGAUGAGUUUGGAAGGAGAAACUAUGCCUCAUACCAUCUUCUCUUCCUUUCUUCUUGGGAGUCAACACUCCUCCCGCAGGGUGGAAAGGAGAGGCCCAUUCUGGCCCAGCUGCCUAUUGCUGAGUGUCCACGUAUGAUUUUGAGGCCAAGUGUCAGGAAGCUCAUUGGCCUGAGAAUGUAAGCCACAUUCUCUAAUAUCAGCCUUAUUAGUAAUAAAGGUUAUUUUCGGUCCUCAUCUAGCUUACUGCUAUCUUACUUCUGAUUCACUUCAAAACUCGCAGAAAAGGGGAGGCGACUGCUAUUUUGAGGUCUCCUCAAAGACCCCAACAUAUUUACCAGGCGGCUUCCUGGUGGUUAGAAAAAGCCUUGUGUUGGGAUGAAACCCUGGCUUCUAGAACCACAUCACUACUUUCUUAUAGAACAACAGGUUCUUUAGUUGUCAAAUGAGUAAAGGGGAGUUUAUAGAAGGUGUUCCUUCCAGCUGAAAUGUAUCCAUUCAAAACUUAUUUAUUGAAUGCCUACUAUGUGCCAGGGAGUACAACGGUGAUCAAGAGAGACAGUCUCUGCUGCCACACAGUUUAUAAUCUAACUAGGGUGCAUCAAUUAGAAAGUUUAAUGUUCCAAGUGAAAUGAAACCAUCUCAAACAGGCUGAAGCAAUAAGGAAAAUUUAUUGGCUCACUGGGGAUCCAGGCACGAUUUGAUCCAGGACUCAAACAACAGGGAUCCAUUUCUUGGCUCUGCUUCCUCUGGGUGGGAUUCAUUCUUUUGUCACCAUAUGAUGCAACCCCUCCUCUCUCCUGGCAGCUCCACACUUUCCACUAUGACUGCAGGAGAAAUAAGAUGUACUGUUUACCAGGCUGAGAAGAGUCCAAGUGCCAACAUUCCCUACAGACUCCUGAGGUCCACUCUGAUUAGACCAUUUCAGGGCACAGGCCUCCCCUAAAGCGAUGACCUAGCUCAGAGUGAUAGAUACACUGAUGGGCUCAAACCCAGUGGGGUCCAUCCCUGGAUGGAGGAAAGUUGGGCCCUCCCUACAUGGCUCAGAAAUUUAGAAAUCUAUUAGGAAGAGAGAGGGGGCAGCAACCAGUAACUGUCCACGAUAGAAAGACAAUAUAUAAAAUGAGAAUUUUGCUUUGAGGGAACAAUUCAGCCUGUAGAAAAUGCAGGUAUCCCCUAAUUCCCUGGUGAGUCUAGCACAGGCCUGGGAAUCCAGAGAAUUGGCUUCCAAAUCCUGUGCAGGGCCCCUAUACACAACAGGCCCUCAGGAAAGUUCUGGAGGUUGACAGACUUUGCUCCUUGAUCUCACCUCUCUGGAACUGCCCUUGGGUUGGAUUCUCCUGCUCUGUGAUCCCUUUUCUUUUUUUGGAAAGGAGGAUAACAUGUACCUGAGAGGGACACUAAAAGGAUAACUGAGGUGACAUCCACAAAGCAUCUGUCACUAAAUAAACCCAAGCUAUCUAUUGACCUGUGCUUGUGACUCUUUCAGAUUUAAGGACAUUUAGCCAGUGGUUUAGGGGCUAAACAUUAACCACAUUGGGGCAGAUCAGCACCACAGGAGCUAUGAGCCGUGAAGAUACACAGGCCUUUGGUGUUCUAAGUUCAAAAGAUCUGUGUGAAACAAGGUAUAACCCAAAUUAGUUGAAAAUGGACAGCAAUACAGUCAAACAUGCCAGAUACGGAGAGUGCUCCAGCUAAGUACCACAGCUAGUUCUCAAAAGGUAUGAGUAUUUGCCAAGCAACCCAGAAGUACCAGCGGGGCCUGAGCAAUCCUUUGCUUCUUCAUUCAACAAACAUUUAUUGGGUACCCCCUAUACAAGUAGCUACUGUAGGAACACAAUCAAUGAUGAGACUGACACAAAUCCUUUUCAGAAAAAAGAAGGAAUCUCCAUUUAUCAAUAGGUAAAUUAUUAUAAGAAACCAGAUUACUAUAUGCAAAGCUAAAAUGAAUUCAAGAUCUACUAUGAUACCAGAGACAGAAGGUAAAACUAGUUUCAUUUUGUGGAGGAAGUUGGAGAAGGAGUGGGCCAUGCCUACCAAAUGAAUCUUGCAUUAAGGCAUAGACAAAUGUAUAGGGUUAAGUUGAGAGAUUGCGAUCAACUACACAGUCUUUUUUGGUCUCCCAAAUAAAUGUGACUCAGUCCUCUGAACACC